GUGGGGAAUCUUGCGCAAUGGGCGAAAGCCUGACGCAGCCAUGCCGCGUGGAUGAUGAAGGUCUUAGGAUUGUAAAAUCCUUUCACCGGUGAAGAUAAUGACUGUAGCCGGAGAAGAAGCCCCGGCUAACUUCGUGCCAGCAGCCGCGGUAAUACGAAGGGGGCUAGCGUUGCUCGGAUUUACUGGGCGUAAAGGGCGCGUAGGCGGACAUUUAAGUCAGGGGUGAAAUCCCGGGGCUCAACCUCGGAACUGCCUUGUAUACUGGGUGUCUUGAGUAUGAGAGAGGUGUGUGGAACGCCGAGUGUAGAGGUGAAAUUCGUAGAUAGUCGGAAGAACACCAGUGGCGAAGGCGACACACUGGCUCAUUACUGACGCUGAGGCGCGAAAGCGUGGGGAGCAAACAGGAUUAGAUACCCUGGUAGUCC
rnacentral:rRNA from 1 species